AAUGCAGUUGCGGAAGUCUCUGUUUGUGGACGGUCUAAUGAAUCGGAUAACCAAAAGGACAUGUGGGGGCUUCUUAAGAACUCCAGAGCUUGAGAUAUGGCCAUAGGGGGAGUUUAUAUUUUCCGUGCAACCCUGUGGCUGCUUCCCACUAACUUGUACUGCUCCCUCUCUCUGUUGUCUGGUGGAUUUAAGCUGGUCUCAGCACUGUCAUUGGUUCCCAUCCACAUCCACCCAAACUCUUGUGUCGUGUGUUUGUGAUGAGAGAACACAUGAUGGCUCAACAACAAGUGUGUGUGUGUGUGUGUGACAGAAAGAUGUGGCACAUUUAGACGCUAUCCAAUCCGAACCCAGAGGAAUCCCUAAUUCAAGCUUCAUCCCCCGAUCACUACUGCACAGAUUCUGGUGUUCAGCAACAGAGGGAGGAAGUGGAGAUGCUUUGUCUGUCUUUCGGAACAGUCUAUGAUAGCCACCAGAAUGGUUCAAAUUCCCACAAACCACAGUGGAAGAGUCACAAAACCAGGGAAUGAUGUGAACACACCAGUGGGCCCGCAGUUAAUCUUUCUAAUUGAAUCCACAGGAGUGAAUUCCAACGGGCAAGAGGAGAGGCUGCGGGAGGGGUGAUGUCAGAGGUCAAAGGUUGUGUUAUGACCCUUGCCCGGUGAGUAGAACCCUGCUGUGCAGCAUUUGGAUGUGUGUGUGUGUGCAUCUGCGCGCAUGCGUGCAUGCGUGUUUGUGUGUGUGUGUGUGUGUGAGUGUGUGUGUGUGAGUGUGUGUGUGAGUGUUUGUAAAACAGCAAAGAGGGUAACUUGUUGAGUUACUUGUUAUGUAUUUAUGCAUAAACGGACAUUCCAGUGCAGUCACUCCGGUUAUCAUGUUUAUUAAUGAGGCUGCAGUCAUGUCUUCAUGCUGGUUCGUGGCUCGGUACAAUACACAGAUUUGAUGUCAUUGAACUCCUUUAAAGAUAACAGCCAUUCUAAAGAAAUUUAAAUAAUUUUCUCCCAUUGACGUAGAUACAAAUUCCUGUACACAGUAUCGUAAAAAAGAUGUUAUGUCUUGCUGUAAAGGUGGCGGUAGCUUGGUCAUGAUUACAUCUCGUACACUGAGAGCAAUAAGAUUUCACUGUAAGUAAAACUCUCCUCCUAAAUUACAAUCUGAACCCUGACGACCAUUUGUUAGAACAAACAUGCACAGAUGCACACUUUCUCUCUCUCUCUCUCUCUCUCU